UUAUUGCUCACUGUAAGACCCCCUUUUGGGGACCCCCACUCAAGUCUCGGGAGAGAGAGAGAACCUAAAGAAACACGAGAAUCC
rnacentral:pre_miRNA from 7 species